AUGCUUGCUUCGGCAGCACAUAUACUAAAAUUGGAACACUACAAAGAAGAUGAGCAUGGCCUCUGCACAAAGAUGACAGGAAAAUUUGUGAAGCAUUCCAUAUUUUU